rnacentral:tRNA from 1 species
UUCUUGAUAGUAUAGUGGUUAGUACUUCCGCUUGUCAUCUGGAGUAUCAGAAGAUACACCACAUACGCGGGCGACUCGGGUUCGAUUCCCGAUCAGGAAG